GCGGAAGUGGCGGAAUUGGUAGACGCACUGGAUUUAGGUUCCAGCGCCGCAAGGUGUGAGAGUUCGAGUCUCUCCUUCCGCACCA
rnacentral:tRNA from 2 species